GAUGGAGGAACUGGCGAAGUAGGGUCCUCGCAUCCACUUCACACGAUUUGGCCCGAAAAUGGCGGCGAAAUGUUUUGGCAAAACAACCUGGCAUUUUUGUUUCACAACACUCUGUUCACUUUGUUGUCGACUUUGCCUGCUGACUGACAUACAUCAAUACACAUGUAUAUAUCAUGAUACUACGUGUACAUACAUACAUACAUACAUACUCGCUGUCCCGAAAAUGGCGGUCAUGCGAGGACCUUACUUCGCCAGUUCCUCCAUCUAUCGACCUUGCGUAUGUACAGUAAGUAUAUCCAGUAUCGACACUGGAUCCCUGGUCACAUGACUCGCCGCCAUGUUGAGGGUAGGAUAGGCGCUUGUUAUGACAAUUAAGCUUAGAACAUACCGCCGUAUAGUUAGCAGACAAAUAUGAUAAAUCUUUUUUUUUAUUAAUGCCGUCUGAAAAUACGUGUGACGCACACUAAGAAAGCGCGUCACUUAUAAACUUUCUCGCGUAUAGGUGAGGUGUUCCGAUAACUAUUUUGCUCGCUUGUGUUUACCUCACCUACAACCGGCAUUGUGUAAGCGACCCGAUCGUUGUGUGCGAUCACACGGGUAUUCGGACGGCA